rnacentral:rRNA from 1 species
AACGAACGCUGGCGGCGUGCUUAACACAUGCAAGUCGAACGAGAAAGCCCUUCGGGGUGAGUACAGUGGCGCACGGGUGAGUAAUGCAUAGGAACGUACCUUUUAGUGGGGAAUAACAACGGGAAACCGUUGCUAAUACCGCAUGAUGUCGUAAGACCAAAGAUGGCCUCUACUUGUAAGCUAUCGCUGAAAGAUCGGCCUAUGUCCCAUUAGCUUGUUGGCGGGGUAAUGGCCCACCAAGGCGACGAUGGGUAGCUGGUCUGAGAGGACGAUCAGCCACACUGGAACUGAGACACGGUCCAGACUCCUACGGGAGGCAGCAGUGGGGAAUAUUGCACAAUGGGCGCAAGCCUGAUGCAGCAACGCCGCGUGAGUGAAGAAGGCUCUUGGGUCGUAAAGCUCUUUCGGCAGGGAAGAAGGGUCUUAUGGUAAAUAAUCAUAAGAUUUGACGGUACCUGCAUAAGAAGCACCGGCUAACUCCG